GGGGUUGUGGCUCAGUGGUAGAGCGCUUGCCUAGCAUGUAUGAGGCACUGGGUUCAAUUCUCAGCUACACAU
rnacentral:tRNA from 1 species